rnacentral:ribozyme from 14 species
GAUGCGCUCUAAAAAAAAAAAAAAAAAAAAAAAAAAAAAAAAAAUA